rnacentral:tRNA from 1 species
AGAAAUAGUAAAAAUAAUAAAUUUCUAAUUUAUAUAUUAAAUGUUAAAGCCAUUUUUAUUUCUU